GAUGAACGCUGGCGGCGUGCUUAACACAUGCAAGUCGAACGGGAUCCAAGGGGUGCUUGCACUUUUUGGUGAGAGUGGCGAACGGGUGAGUAACACGUGAGUAACCUGUCCUUUUCUUUGGGAUAAGCAUUCGAAAGGGUGUUUAAUACCUUAUGUUCUGUCUGCCUCGCAUGGGGUGGGUGGGAAAGGCUUUGGCCGUAUUCGGGUGGGCUCGCGGUCUAUCAGCUUGUUGGUGGGGUGAUGGCUUACCAAGGCUUUGACGGGUAGCCGGCCUGAGAGGGUGGUCGGUCAGAUUGGGACUGAGAUACGGCCCAGACUCCUGCGGGAGGCAGCAGUGGGGGAUAUUGCACAAUGGGCGAAAGCCUGAUGCAGCGACGCCGCGUGGGGGAUGAAGGCCUUAGGGUUGUAAACUUCUUUUGCUCUGAACAAGGCAUGCCAGUGGGUGUGUUGAGUGUAGGGGUUGAUUAGCGCCGGCUAACUACGUG
rnacentral:rRNA from 1 species